rnacentral:rRNA from 1 species
UACGUAGGGGGCGAGCGUUAUCCGGAUUCACUGGGUGUAAAGGGAGCGUAGACGGCCAAGCAAGCCAGGGGUGAAAGCCCGGGGCCCAACCCCGGGACUGCCCUUGGAACUGCAUGGCUGGAGUGCGGGAGGGGCAGGCGGAAUUCCUGGUGUAGCGGUGAAAUGUGUAGAUAUCAGGAGGAACACCGGCGGCGAAGGCGGCCUGCUGGAUCGCGACUGACGUUGAGGCUCGAAAGCGUGGGGAGCGAACAGG